CUGAAAAUGCGUCGACUGGGAUUUUUAACGACAUUGACUACAGGUAAGCCACACACACGCCUUUUGUUGUGAAUAACUAUGGGAGUUGGGGGCUUCUGGUCAGAUCACAUAUGAAGUUAAGACUUGCAAUGUGAGUUCUGGGCUGUAGCGGUCAUUAUUAUGAUGUUAGAUUGUUAACUUUGAGCAAAAAGUUUAGAUUGACAAAUAACAUAGUAUUUAGUCUGUUUAACCGUAGUUCCAAAAACCUAUUUGAUAAUUUUAUUCAGGAAAAAAUGGCAGAAUAGACAAGCCUAUAUAAUUUGGAUUGGAAGAUUAUGUAAAUAUGAUAUGGAUGAAACAGUUCUCACAUGGUUUAUGUGUGUGUGCGUGUUUUUCGAACUGAAACACCCUUCACUGACAGCUACAACUUCUUCUGUGAGACCGUCGUCCAUUAAAAGAUUAGAGUUGACCAGGAAGUGCUGCGAAUGGACAAGCUUGUGGAAAUAUGGCUUUAUUGGGACCAUGGAAAAAGUGCUUAGAAAAUUGAUUUUUUCAAAGCCAAUACCCUCCUAACUUAGUCACCAGCCAGAAAUGUAUCCUGAUGUGAAUACACAAAAAUACAGAUCUAGUGUUGCUGUUUUUGCUUGUUUUAAGUGUUAUAUUAAUUCUGGCAACACAAAAUCUUUAUCAAAUGUCAUAAACACAUCUACCAAACAUUUGAAACAAGUAUUGGUGCCUUAGUAUACACAUAGGUGAAUUCAGAAUGAGAAAUGUAGCUAAUUUCUUGAAGGAAACACUUCAACAUUAAUGAUUUGCACCCAGCACAAUGAAAUAUAUAUUGAAUUAAGCUAAAGGCUUAUGUGUCAUAUUAAAAAUAUCACAACCUACUAUGCAAUGAAAUAUAUAAAAUAAAAAAAUGCACGCCAUGAUCAUAAAUAGCUGAAAAUCAACCCAAUUGCUACCACACCCUCCUAGAUGUGAAUCAUGGCAAAAAUGGAAUAAGACAAAAAAAUUAAAGGGUGAUCAAAAAUAUAAUGUGCCAAAAUCAUAAGGUGAUACUUAAAAAAUGAAAGACAUCACAAAAAAAGUGAUGGACACAUGUUGAAGAUAACUUCCAAGUUUUAUUUCAUGUUUCACAAGUGCUCAAAUGUGAGCACACCCAGCAGCACGGACAAAAUCAAGCCACGAUGAGAAUUCCUCUCAAACGUGUGCAUGUCGCAGUUAUUGUCUUGAUUGCGACUGUUGUUCGAUAUUUCACAUCAUCAGUACUUGCUGGACGUGUUGGUAUGUUAAAGACAAAGUUCGUUAUCCAUCUUUAUGGCACAUAACGUAUGUUAUACACUAAGUGUAUGUUCCACCACUUCCAGCGAAUAUUGAUGACAUGAAAGAUUACAUAACAGACGCAAUCAACGCGGGAGGGAGGAAUUCUCAUGUCAACUUGAUGUUGUCCAUGCUGCUGGUGAUGGCCAUAUUUGAGUACUAUGAAAACAUGAAAUUAAACUUAGUUACUUCCUACAUCUGUCCAAGGUAGUUUUUAUUUUUUUUUUAUGUUUUUCGUUUUUGACAUGGCAUUUUGAUUUUGGCACAGCCUUUUUUAAUCACACUGUAUAUACACAAAAGGUUGGAAUCAUUCAAGUAUAGUACUGUUGGUACACAUUUAUUUAAACAUGGAAGUAUCUCGUACUAUAGAAAUAUUGAAAAACGAAUGAAAAAAAUAGAAAUAAAAGAAUAGUAAAACUGUACAUGACAACAUUACUCCUCAAAAUCGCUUUACUCAAAGUCAUCAUCCCAUCCAAGUGUCUUCUGUUUCUUUGGAAACAUUCUCACAUGCUUGGCACAGAUAUAAAUCAGUACAAGAAAGUUUUGCAGACAUACAGGAACAUCUUCCCAUGUCACAAUUGGUUGCCUUUCAACUACAGUUGACUACUUGCAAAACAGUAUCGGGCAGGAUUUUUAGUCAUCCAUGUCACUGCCAACUGCCCAUCCUCAAUGUCCCACCCAUUCCCAAUGGGUGAAGGGGCACACAUUUUAACUGUCAGACAACGUUUCAUAAUUGCUGCUUGAUAGUCUGCUGUCCUGCAAUGUUGGUACAGAGCAUCAGUUUUGGGGGGAAUAGAAUGUUCUGGCAAGACUGACGAGGCCAUACAGAAAGAUCUGCAUUUGGCAUCAUUUUUGGCACAUGACUGGCAAAACAGGUGGCACACGUAUUUACACAACGUGUUAAAUGUUUGUAGGUCCAGUUUAAAACUGCUGCCCAGCUUUGCAAACCCAGUCAGGUAUUCUUUUUUAUGACGUGCAAAAGAAAAGGUUUUUUUUGCCUUUGCCAUGAAAGGCACAAGCAGAGUCACAACCUGUGAAUGUAUGGAUGCCAAUGAGUGCUGAACACACACUAGUGCCAGGAGCUGCAGAGACCUUAGAGACGUCAGUCCUCGUUCUGUUGCCUCCUCCUGUGAAAAAAUGCAAUUUACACUGUAAAUCUAUCUGCAGACUAACAGCAAUCACUGCCACGUCAGUAUCAGGGCUUUUAUUGACUACAGCUUGAUGUUCUUGAGCCAAAAGGUUUAUUUAGCCAUUGUCACCCAUAACUGGUAUGCAAUAAAAAGUUCUACUGGAUUCACUUUCGACACACUGUACCCUAUAUACAUUUUAUAACAAAGUUGUGUUGAUAUCUGGGCUAAAAAAUGGUAUCGUUACGACACUAGUUUAAAUAAGAUUUUUUUUAGCAUAAGUUAAUAACAAUUAACCUUGUAGUAAAGGCGUGCGUGUGGCUUACCUGUAGUGAAUGUCGUUAAAAAUCCCAGUCGACGCAUUUUCAGCAAGAUCCUUUGACGGAGCCUGGGAAGAAAGCCAUUGUCUGACGCAACCACGCGGGCUCUGCACGUUUUUUCCAAAUUCCUGCCCUUUUUCGCCCUUGGACAGUUGAGAGAUGCAUAUAGCAUCGUUUCGAUGCCUUUUGACUAAAUUCCGAAUGCGGUUUUCUUAUCUUUGGUUCAUCUUCGCUCGUGUUGUAGCUUGGCACGGUCGCCGCCAUAUUGUUUGUUUAUCGAAGCGCAUAGCAACAGUCCUCGUCUCCUAUUGGUGCACGUGACCUAAAAUGGCUUCACACACUGACGAUACGACUCCGCCGUAUCAAUAUCACUGCGCCACGGGGGAAAAAAAGACCGACACGAAAACGCUAAUUACUAAAAAAUGACUGGAAACCGUGAGUAGAACUUUUUUUUUGGUAGUAAUUAGCAACGUAUGUAAAUUACAAUGCAGAGGUCACGUAGAUCCAUUUCAGUGGAACGAACCAACACAAUUUUGGCUCAGCCAAUAGGGAAUGGGACGUACUACGUCACUGUUUGGACGCGCCUCCAUGCUGGCAAUAUGAUUUACUUCCGGUUCGGCAGAGUCAAUGCGGAUUGUAACGUGUGGUAGUGCUAUGCUAACUCUUUCGGUGUUUUAGAAAGAAAAUAUGGGUGCUUAUUGUUGCGUUACCGGGUGCAACAGCGUCUCCUACGACAAAAAAAGGGGUUAGGAAAAAUGGACUCACUUUUCACCGUUUUCCUGCAUGGAGGACCAAAUAUCAGAUCACGAAGGUACGACGGAUGGCUGGAUUGCAGCGGUUCGUCGGAAAAGCAUUUCUUAUGAUCAUAUUUCUGCUGGAAUGAGAGCGUGUUCCUGUCAUCUCUACUCUUGUAAACCUGCUGACAACACAUCCCGAUUGGUCACCAUCUCUCUUCUUGGAUCAUUUGACAAAGAACAUUUGUUCAAUGGAGUGGUUCCAUUUGUCCUGUGUCGGACUCAAACAAGCCCCUGCUGCAGACGCCAUCUGGGUCUGCCCUUCUCGUCGAUGAACUGCGGGCUUUUAACUUGUGAAAAUGCAAGAACUGUAAUGCACAUAUUUAUUCUGCCUGGCUAUUUAAUUAUGGCCAGUGACGUAUUAUUAUUAUUAUUAUUUUUUUUUUUUUUAAACCACUUUGACAAAGACACGUUUCAUUGUAAUGUUGAAUUUAUAUAUUCUAUUAUUAUUUUUAAAUUAUAAUAUUCUUAUUUGCACUUAUGGAGACUUUAGACUGUCAAUUCAAAUAGUGUUGGAAAAGUUGCAAUACCUAAAAUAGAAAUGCAAGAACUGUAAAGUACAUAUUUAUACACCUUUAUUUACCUAAGGCCACUGGAUGUUUUUUUAACUGCUUUGAAAAAAUACAGGUUUUGUUGUGAUCUUGUAUUUAUAUAGUAUAUAGCUUUUUAUAAUUUAUUAUGUAUUAUAAUAUUUGCUGCCCCCUGCCAGAGUGUGGGCCAUUUUGUACUAAAAGGAUUUUAAACUGUCAAUUCAAAUAGUGUUGGAAAAGUUGCAAUACCUAAAAUAGAAAUGCAAGAACUGUAAAGUACAUAUUUAUACACCUUUAUUUACCUAAGGCCACUGGAUGUUUUUUAACUGCUUUGAAAAAAUACAGGUUUUGUUGUGAUCUUGUAUUUAUAUAGUAUAUAGCUUUUUAUAAUGUAUUAUGUAUUAUAAUAUUUGCUGCCCCCUGCCAGAGUGUGGGCCAUUUUGUACUAAAAGGAUUUUAAACUGUCAGUUCAAAUACUGUGUUGGAGACUAGUACUUGCAAUACUUAAAAUGGAAAUGCAAGAACUUUAAAGCACAUAUUUAUCCUGUCUGGCAAUUUACCCAAGGCCAGUAAAUAGUGUUUUAAACUGCUUUGACAAAGACACGUUUAUUGUGAUCUUGUAUUUGUGUAUUACUUAUAAUUAUAUAAUAUUUGCUGCCACCGUCAGAGGGUGGGCCUUGUUUGCACUAAUUUAAAGAUUUUAAACUGUCAAUUAAAUUAUCGUAUUGGAGAAAUUGCAUUACUUGAAAUAAAUCUAUUGCAACUUAUCAGUCCCAGUUCUUGUCUACAACACUGUCCAAAAAUUGUCAAUGCAUAUUCCAAAUAGAAUAACAAAAUUAAGUCACCUGACUUUGUAAUUAUUACACCUGUUUAUUAUGAAGACCUGAAGUAAACAACAAGCAGUUACAGUUUGUCAAGAAGUUGUUCAAGUCAUGUUUUGGUAUUCAUAUUUUAUUGACUUUUCACAACAACACUUGGGAUCGUGUUUGUAAGAGCAGAGCAAACUGAAGUUUCAGCGUGCACUCUUCGCCUUUCCAACCUCUCAUAACGCUCCGAUGUGGUGCGCUUGACCUCAGAAUAACCCAAGAAGAGAUAUGGUGACCAAUCGGGAUGUGUUGUCAGCAUUUCAUAUGCAGGUUUUCCUAGUAACACAACAGGUAGGUGAGGAGGAGGAGUAGGUUAGCAUUGCUACCGAGGCAGAUUUACACAACAGUAAAAAAAACAACAACAACAA